GCCUGGCUGGCUCAGUUGUUAAGAGUGUGUGACUCUUGAUCUCAGGGUCAUGAGUUCAAGCCCCACGUCAGGUG
rnacentral:tRNA from 1 species